GAAGAAAGAGAAUUUUGACGAAGUUUUGACUUCGCGAAGUGAGCGCCAGCAAGACAAACAUGGCGGAAUCAACAAUGAGACGCCUCACAGACAAAAGCACAACAAAAGCAAUCUGGACCAUGGGAAUCUCAACACACGAGAAAUCCUGAACAUCCUUCCAAGAGGAUGAAGAAGUCCAAUGAUCAUUGUUGUGUUCCAGAGUGUGAGGGGGACGUUCGAUACGAUUCCUCUCUGUCUUUUCAUCGAAUCCCAAAGAAUAACGACCUUAGAAAGAUCUGGAGUUCAAAAAUUAGAA